rnacentral:lncRNA from 1 species
GGAGAUUUGACCAGGUGAGUUUAUGAUCCUUGGCACCUUCACAAAAGCAUGAUCUGGAUAUUUUUCUUCUAGACACUGUUUAUCUAAUUGACAGAUAUUAACAUUGUAAACAUUUUAGAGGAGACGCUCUGGUAGAUGUUGGGGAAAUAGAUGAAGAGGACCAGCCACUGCUCUCAAGGAUCUCAGACCCAUAUGUGAUCGAUGACAACGCAGCAAGUGUGUCAACAGAAAACUGAUCCCAAAAAGGCCCAGAGGGUAAAAGCCUGACUCUUCCAGAAAGUUUCAGGGAGGAAGUGCUAUGGCUGACUAUUGCAAGAAGACUCAGGUGGAAGGGGAAGAUAAGGAAGGACAUUCCCGGCAGAAGGGACAGCUUGGCCAAGGGCGUAGCAUUAAGGAGAGAGCAGGUUUUGACAAGCUGCUGUCAAAAGAAGGGUUAAGUCCACAGAUUUCAUUGUAAUUCCUGGCACAGAGUUUGAGGUACCACUAUCUGCAAAGGGGACCAAACGGAUGACUUGCCCAGGAAUUUGGGGGAGAGCCUGAAGCCAUCUCCUGUAAUCAUAGCAUCUCAUUAAAAAAUUCUGAUUUAUUGUAAAAAUCUAUUUGAACUUGUGUCUAAUCCAUUUUUGUAUGUGUUCUUGGUUUUCAAAUAAAAAUGUUUUAAAUUAA